rnacentral:rRNA from 1 species
AGUGAACGCUGGCGGUAGGCCUAACACAUGCAAGUCGAACGGCAGCACAGUAAGAGCUUGCUCUUACGGGUGGCGAGUGGCGGACGGGUGAGGAAUACAUCGGAAUCUACUUUUUCGUGGGGGAUAACGUAGGGAAACUUACGCUAAUACCGCAUACGACCUACGGGUGAAAGCAGGGGAUCUUCGGACCUUGCGCGAUUGAAUGAGCCGAUGUCGGAUUAGCUAGUUGGCGGGGUAAAGGCCCACCAAGGCGACGAUCCGUAGCUGGUCUGAGAGGAUGAUCAGCCACACUGGAACUGAGACACGGUCCAGACUCCUACGGGAGGCAGCAGUGGGGAAUAUUGGACAAUGGGCGCAAGCCUGAUCCGGCCAUACCGCGUGGGUGAAGAAGGCCUUCGGGUUGUAAAGCCCUUUUGUUGGGAAAGAAAAGCAGCAGGUUAAUACCCCGCUGUUCUGACGGUACCCAAAGAAUAAGCACCGGCUAACCUCGUG